AAGUGCAUGUGGUGGAUGCCUUGGCAGUCAGAGGCGAUGAAAGACGUGAUAGCCUGCGAAAAGCUCCGGGGAGGCGGCAAAUAUCCUUUGAUCCGGAGAUAUCUGAAUGGGGGAACCCACCCGCUAUAAGGCGGGUAUCAUAAGCUGAAUACAU
rnacentral:rRNA from 1 species